rfam:Triticum aestivum genome assembly, contig: Triticum_aestivum_CS42_TGACv1_scaffold_220591_3B
CUUGUACUCCCUCCGUCCAAAAAUACUUGUCAUUGAAAUGGAUGUAUCUAGAUGUAUUUUAGUUCUAGACACAUCCAUUUUGAUGACAAGUAAUUCCAGACGGAGGGAGUACUUG